rnacentral:rRNA from 1 species
UACGUAGGGGGCAAGCGUUGUCCGGAAUCAUUGGGCGUAAAGAGCGCGUAGGCGGCCCUGUAAGUCCGCUGUGAAAGUCAAGGGCUCAACCCUUGAAUGCCGGUGGAUACUGCAGGGCUAGAGUCCGGAAGAGGCGAGUGGAAUUCCUGGUGUAGCGGUGAAAUGCGUAGAGAUCGGGAGGAACACCUGUGGCGAAGGCGGCCGUCUGGGCCGACCCUGACGCUGAGGCGCGAAGGCGUGGGGAGCGAACGGGG